GUGCUUAACACAUGCAAGUCGAACGGUAAGGCCCCUUCGGGGGUACACGAGUGGCGAACGGGUGAGUAACACGUGGGUAAUCUGCCCUGCACUUCGGGAUAAGCCUGGGAAACUGGGUCUAAUACCGGAUAUGAGCUCCUGCCGCAUGGUGGGGGUUGGAAAGUUUUUCGGUGCAGGAUGAGCCCGCGGCCUAUCAGCUUGUUGGUGGGGUAAUGGCCUACCAAGGCGACGACGGGUAGCCGGCCUGAGAGGGUGAUCGGCCACACUGGGACUGAGACACGGCCCAGACUCCUACGGGAGGCAGCAGUGGGGAAUAUUGCACAAUGGGCGGAAGCCUGAUGCAGCGACGCCGCGUGGGGGAUGACGGUCUUCGGAUUGUAAACCCCUUUCAGUAGGGACGAAGCGCAAGUGACGGUACCUGCAGAAGAAGCACCGGCCAACUACGUGCCAGCAGCCGCGGUAAUACGUAGGGUGCGAGCGUUGUCCGGAAUUACUGGGCGUAAAGAGCUCGUAGGCGGUUUGUCGCGUCGUCUGUGAAAUCCUCCAGCUUAACUGGGGGCGUGCAGGCGAUACGGGCAGACUUGAGUACUACAGGGGAGACUGGAAUUCCUGGUGUAGCGGUGAAAUGCGCAGAUAUCAGGAGGAACACCGGUGGCGAAGGCGGGUCUCUGGGUAGUAACUGACGCUGAGGAGCGAAAGCAUGGGUAGCGAACAGGAUUAGAUACCCUGGUAGUCCAUGCCGUAAACGGUGGGCGCUAGGUGUGGGGGUCUUCCACGACUUCCGUGCCGCAGCUAACGCAUUAAGCGCCCCGCCUGGGGAGUACGGCCGCAAGGCUAAAACUCAAAGGAAUUGACGG
rnacentral:rRNA from 1 species